GACGUAGGGCGCGAGCGUUGUCCGGAUUUAUUGGGCGUAAAGAGCUCGUAGGCGGCUUGUCGCGUCGUCCGUGAAAACCCACAGCUCAACUGUGGGCUUGCGGUCGAUACGGGCAGGCUAGAGUUCGGUAGGGGAGACUGGAAUUCCUGGUGUAGCGGUGAAAUGCGCAGAUAUCAGGAGGAGCACCGGUGGCGAAGGCGGGUCUCUGGGCCGAUACUGACGCUGAGGAGCGAAAGCGUGGGGAGCGAACAGG
rnacentral:rRNA from 1 species